GGCCUAAACUUGCCUUUUGGCGAGCAUGGUCAAAAGACCUUACGAGAUAUUGAGCUCUUCGCCCAGAGCCCUCGUAAGGUCAUAUCCGGAAACGGGUAUGGGUGGCGCAAGCCAUC
rnacentral:sRNA from 1 species